rnacentral:lncRNA from 10 species
AAAUAGCAUUUGACCCAGUGAUCCCAUUACGGGGUAUAUACCCAAAGAUUAUAAACACACAUGCACACGUAUGUUCUAUCGGUCAGCAGCAGGCAAAGUGAACCACAAUAUUGGGUGGUUACACUCCUAGGAUCAAGCAAUCCUGCCAUUACUUUGCUUUAUAUACUAUAUACCUUUCUCUGUCGGUGGAUUCGUCUGACCUAAGCAAACAUAAGUGGGUUUAUAAGCACCAAAACACUUUUGUUUUCCAUUAAUUUUUCACUAACCAUACAGAUAAAAAAAAAAACAACACAUUUUUCUUUCUUUCCUAAGAUAAAUUAUGAACCUCUUUUCUUGUGCCAGAGAACACUGAAUAUGUGAAUGGAUGGC